UGUUAAAAAUUUUAUCUACUUCUGUUAUUAAAAAUUAGCGUAGCUGACAGAAUAAUUAGACAAUUACACAUGUAUCUCAUGCUGACGUAUAUGUACCAAUUUUUAUCAGUAGAAAUGGAUAAAAUUUUUAACA
rfam:Gossypium hirsutum cultivar TM-1 chromosome 18, whole genome shotgun sequence